AUUCUAUUUCAGAUUCUGAAGAAACAUUUUUAAUAUUAAAUUUGUUGAUUUUGGUUUGUCGUAACCAUCAAAAUUCACCAUAUGGGAGAUAUUGAACCACACUCAAUCCAUAUAGAGUAUUGCUAUCAAUCAUCACUUUAACUAUGAGGUUUUGAAUUAUCAUAAGUAUGAGAUAUGUAAGGAAUGUUUGCUGACUAAAGAUAAUCCUCGAACACCAAAUUUGAUAAACAGGAUGAAAUCGCCCACAUUACCUGAAAAAUUGGAAACCCAAUAUUUAAAUAAAUACAGUUUAAAAUUUGGAAAUAAAACAUACAGCGGGAUAAAAAUGGUUAAGGAGGAAUGGAUUUUAAUAGAAAUUCUUAUUCAAUAUGAUGAUGAGAGAAAAGUAUAUUUUACAGAUGAAGAGAACAAAUGGCAGGUAUGGAUGAAUAUCCAGAUGAAAAAUGGUUUAACACCACUUAACGAAAGAAUACUGUCAGAAAUAGAAAUAUAGUGAUUCUGUUAAAUAACAAAAAAUUUUGAGAUUUAAAAUAUUUAAAGUUAUCAUUAAGAAAAAAUGUAAUUAUUUUAAAACAAAGUAAUAAUUGGAUAGUGGUAAAAAUAGAAGAUAAAAUAAUAAUAUUUGAAGAAUCUAUGGAAUCUGUAGAUUGAAAGUGAUAUUUAAGAAAUGUAACUUGGUUCUUUUCAGUUUGGAUCUUUGAGCUUAGAUCUGGAUUAUUUUAAGAAUAUUACCUUGAAUUGAUGUUUUAUUGAUUAUUGGAUUUAUCUUCCUGUUUGAUCCGAUGCAGUUUCAAAUAGUCAUGUUUAAAUCUCCAAUUGAUUUAUGCAAGAAGUACUAUUACAAAAGUUUUUGUUUGGUUACUAAAUAUUGUUGACAUCUGACUCUACUUGGGCAGUUUGAAAAUUUGUUAUAUCAAUGUUUAAAAUUGCAAAUAAAUUUCUUAGAUAAAGAA